GACGAACGCUGGCGGCGUGCCUAAUACAUGCAAGUCGAGCGGACGAAUCGAAAGCUUGCUUUUGAUUCGUUAGCGGCGGACGGGUGAGUAACACGUGGGCAACCUGCCCUGUAGACGGGGAUAACACCGAGAAAUCGGUGCUAAUACCGGAUAACACGAAAUGUCGCAUGACGUUUCGUUGAAAGACGGCGCAAGCUGCCGCUACAGGAUGGGUCCGCGGCGCAUUAGCUAGUUGGUGAGGUAACGGCUCACCAAGGCGACGAUACGUAGCCGACCUGAGAGGGUGAUCGGCCACACUGGGACUGAGACACGGCCCAGACUCCUACGGGAGGCAGCAGUAGGGAAUCUUCCGCAAUGGACGAAAGUCUGACGGAGCAACGCCGCGUGAGCGAAGAAGGCCUUCGGGUCGUAAAGCUCUGUUGUUAGGGAAGAACAAGUAACGCAGUAACUGGCGUUACCGUGACGGUACCUAACGAGAAAGCCACGGCUAACUACGUG
rnacentral:rRNA from 1 species